CGAAAGCCUGACGGAGCAACGCCGCGUGAGGGACUAAGGCCUUUGGGCUGUAAACCUCUUUUCUCAAGGAAGAAGAUCUGACGGUACUUGAGGAAUAAGCCACGGCUAAUUCCGUGCCAGCAGCCGCGGUAAUACGGGAGUGGCAAGCGUUAUCCGGAAUUAUUGGGCGUAAAGCGUCCGCAGGCGGCCAAGCAAGUCUGUUGUUAAAGCGUGGAGCUCAACUCCAUCACUGCAAUGGAAACUGCUAGGCUUGAGUGUGGCAGGGGCAGAGGGAAUUUCCGGUGUAGCGGUGAAAUGCGUAGAUAUCGGGAGGAACACCAGUGGCGAAAGCGCUCUGCUGGCCCAUUACUGACGCUCAUGGACGAAAGCCAGGGGAGCAAAAGGGAUUAGAUACCCCUGUAGUCCUGGCCGUAAACGAUGAACACUAGGUGUCGGGGGAAUCGACCCCCUCGGUGUCGUAGCUAACGCGUUAAGUGUUCCGCCUGGGGAGUACGCACGCAAGUGUGAAACUCAAAGGAAUUGACGGGGGCCCGCACAAGCGGUGGAGUAUGUGGUUUAAUUCGAUGCAACGCGAAGAACCUUACCAAGGCUUGACAUCCUGCAAAUCUCCAAGAAAUUGGAGAGUGCCUUCGGGAAUGCAGAGACAGGUGGUGCAUGGCUGUCGUCAGCUCGUGUCGUGAGGUGUUGGGUUAAGUCCCGCAACGAGCGCAACCCACGUUUUUAGUUGCCAGCAUUCAGUUGGGUACUCUAGAAAGACUGCCGGUGAUAAACCGGAGGAAGGUGUGGACGACGUCAAGUCAUCAUGCCCCUUACGCCUUGGGCUACACACGUACUACAAUGCUACGGACAAAGAGCAGCCAGCUCGCAAGAGUCAGCAAAUCUCCUUAACUGUAGCUCAGUUCAGAUCGUAGGCUGCAACUCGCCUACGUGAAGCAGGAAUCGCUAGUAAUCGCAGGUCAGCAUACUGCGGUGAAUACGUCCCCGGGCCUUGUACACACCGCCCGUCACACCAUGGAAGUUGGCCACGCCCGAAGUCGUUACUCCAACCGCAAGGAGGAGGGCGCCGAAGGCAGGGCUGAUGACUGGGGUGAAGUCGUAACAAGGUAGCCGUAGCGGAAGCUGCGGCUGGAUCACCUCCUAA
rnacentral:rRNA from 1 species